GCACGAAACUUGCCCCGAGAUGAGUUCUCCCUGACUCCUUGAGAGUCCUGAAGGAACGUUGAAGACGACGACGUUGAUAGGCCGGGUGUGUAAGCGCAGUGAUGCGUUGAGCUAACCGGUACUAAUGAACCGUGAGGCUUAACCUU
rnacentral:rRNA from 1 species